GCAGGAGAUUGUCCGUGAAAAUAAAAAAUGCAACUCCAAGGUGAUAAAGAACCAAUUUUGUGUCGUAUAGGAUCACUAGCCAACUGCCAUAAAGAUACUUUCUCCAUGCUACUUCCCAUUAGCAUUUGUAUGCAUCAUGUAAGAAGAGAUCUCGUCAGAUGUUCACGUGCAGUGGCCAGUGCUUGACUUAUUGUCUGCUCAGA
rnacentral:misc_RNA from 1 species